AGUGAACGCUGGCGGCAGGCCUAACACAUGCAAGUCGAGCGGCAGCACGGCAAUAGCAAUAUUGUGGGUGGCGAGCGGCGGACGGGUGAGGAAUGCAUCGGGAUCUACCCUGUCGUGGGGGACAACGUAGGGAAACUUACGCUAAUACCGCAUGAUCUGGAGACAGCAAAGCCGGGGACCUUCGGGCCUGGCGCGAUGGGAUGAGCCGAUGUCCGAUUAGCUAGUUGGCGGGGUAAAGGCCCACCAAGGCGACGAUCGGUAGCUGGUCUGAGAGGACGACCAGCCACACUGGAACUGAGACACGGUCCAGACUCCUACGGGAGGCAGCAGUGGGGAAUAUUGGACAAUGGGGGCGAACCCUGAUCCAGCCAUGCCGCGUGGGUGAAGAAGG
rnacentral:rRNA from 1 species